UUUGACCAUUAUUUUCAUAUCCGUAAUAGUGCGAAAAGAAGGCUCGGCUCCAAGUUGUUCAAGAAUAGUGGCGUUGAGUUUCUCGACCCUUUGACUUAGGAAGGUCAGUUUAUGGGCUAAUCAAUAAAGCAUUUUUAUCUUCGAAACCCAUUGGAAAGGGCAGUGCAAGAGAAAUCAUACAAAAAUGAUCGAAUCUUUGGACGCCCCGAAAAAGAUAUGAGGUGCUCGGAAAUGGUCGAAGUAGUUGAAUAGGAGGAUCACUAUGACUAUAGCCCUUGGUUAGUUGUGAUUGGGACUACAGGACGGUAUCCUGGAAGAUCCCCGGUUGUUAUCUCUUUUUGAGCUGUAUUUCCUAUCCGUUAUUAUCUUAUCUAUGUUCUAGUUGUUGUUGUUUAUCUAUUUUUGUUACUUCUUACUGUUGCACUCAGUUAUACUGUUUUACUCUACGCUACUAUACCUUGUAUUUUAUCUAACCUCAGUAGGGCCCUGACUUUCUCGUUACUACCCAACCGAGGUUAGGCUUGGCACUUACUAAGUACAUCUAUGGUGUACUCAUGCU
rnacentral:lncRNA from 1 species